rnacentral:misc_RNA from 1 species
CUGUAGAGACGGAGAAGAGCAAUCCCCCCCGUGGGGUGAGCGUCUCCUGUCCACCCACACUUUGUGAACUGUUUCCUGUCUCUGGCGGGCGGCACUGUAGACCCUCUGCCUGGAGGGGGGGGAGGAGCAGCACGGACUGUGCUUUCUCUGUCUGACCCUUGUGCCCAACCUGCCGAUGGGCUUUUCCAAGUCCCAUCAAAUCUUUGUUAACACAAAAGCUGAACCAAUGAGACUGAACCAAGUUACACUUAACAAAUGUGACAAA